AGCAUUGAGGGUGUGUAUAGGAAAGGAGAUGACACAGAAAGCACUGUGCACCUAAUAAUGUAAAGUACAAGCUGCUGCCGUUUUUUCAUCUUUGCUUCAAAUUAGAAGACUAUUGCUUAAAAUUAAUUGAAAGUAAACAUUUUUUUCUAAUGAUAUAUAAUGUAAAAUAACUUACAGAACUUUGCAAUUUGGUUCAAUAUCACAUCUUACCACUACGAAAUAAAAUAUAAAAUUGGCAGUCUCACAACAAGGCCUUGUUGAAAGUAUUCUUGUUUCGGGCUACUAGAAGGGCUAGGCUCUAUUCCCAUGGAUAACACUAACGCUAAGCAUAUGGACAUCUGGCAUUGCUAUUGCACCAAUCAGUGCUAGUUCAGUAAAGUAAGUGUUCAAAGCAGUUUGAAGACAAUGCGUGGCAUUGAUGUUAUGUGCUUAAGUGCAGGUCAGCAAAUACUGAAAACAUAAAAGGUUGAUUUGGAUAGAUCUAUGCACAGGCAGGGCAAUUUGAUUAAUUUAAUUACUCAUAGAUUGAUUAUUAAUUGUGGCAUUGAUAAAUGGUUGUACAGCAAUCCUGAAUAGCCACAAGUCUGAGGGUAUGGGAGUAAUGAGAAGGUACAAAUACAGCAGUUGACCUUUUUUCCUUCCACCCAGUGGUAGCAGCCAUUGCUGUUUCCUGUUUCACUCUAUUACUGCUGCUGAACAGGAAAUCCUGACUGCCCAGAGGCAAGGGUUAAAAGCCCUUCUGAAACAUGCUCACCUAGCAAAUACAUAGCAGCUGGGUAAAUACAUGUGGAGAUGAGGCAAUAAAAUCCAGUCAUUACAGGAAGUCAAUCUGGCUAAUGUUAGAAAGCAAAUGUGAGGAAGACAUGGGUGAGCUGAACACUGAAUAAAAAAUUUCAGGUUUAGAAUGACAUUUGUUGACAAGACUUGGGUAUGAUACUGACCACAGUAGGCUUAGUGCACAGUCCUAGAUAUAUUCAAAACUUUUCCUUGACUUUCUUGUGACAGAAUUUUGUACUUAGUCAAGUUUCCUUGAAAAAAAACCACCACCAAAGCAAAUAGGUUUCUUCACUGCUCAUUUUGCUCAUUUGUUCUCCAUUGUUAUCAACAAAGCUUUUGAGCUUCAUGGAAGUCUUCAGCAAAGCUUGAAUGGGGUAGAAGUCUCAACAUAUCAAGUUUCUACAUUUUUUGGUUAGUUGGUUGGGUUUUUAUUUUGUGUGUGUGUGUGUGUGUGUGAAAGAGAGGGAAAUACCAACCCAACCUUUGUGCUAUUAGGAAAGACAAUCCGAAAUGUCGGAUGGUCAGUGUGUUCUGCUUUGUAGUUCUUCUUGAACCCUUAAAUACUUUAACAAGUGGGUGAGCCACAAAUCAAGCCAAUCUUUUCAGUACUUCUGCUUCUGAAAAUACAGAACAGCACUGUUCUUCUAGUUUGCUUUUUUUUUUUUAACAAGAUAAUAAAUUGUGGCUUUGCCAUUCUUUGUUAAUGUUUUUUGCUAUGACCAAGAUCCCAUUUUCAGCUUAGUGUAUUUUAUCACAAACACAAAUAAAGAACAGAAGCUGCUGGCUUCCUUGGGAGGACAAUCCUUUUAAAGCAUAGCAUUAAAGCAGACUGCAGGGAACAAGAGCAAGCUGUGAAAAAGGGUUGCAGAGAGAGAAAAGGCACUGGAAAAGACAGCAGUGAGCUGGAUCUGGUUGCAUGUUAAUAGAGUAUGCAUGUUAACUGCUCUCCCGAUGAAGAGCUGCUCUAGCUUUAGAGGUGUGGAGUCCUUCCAUGUUGUUGCCAGCAUGUAGUUAAGGAAGCAGGAAUUAUGCUUUUAGAUGGAGGAGGUGAGUGACUGCUGCACCAGAGGAGCUAGAGAAAGAAAGGCUUUUAAGAGCUCUUGUGUGGUAUGAAGGUUAGCAUUGCAACUUGGAGCAUGGGGGCUUUCAAUCUGCAAAAUUUCAGCAGACAGCACAAUCCAUCAGCACAUGUAAUAAAAAUUUCUUUGUGUUGUUUUACCUAUCUGUUGCAUGACUUAUUGCUAAAGAAAUAGCAACCAGGAAGCAAAGAGAAUUGCUAACGGAAAACAGAGCAAGGGCAGUGCAAAGCCAGUGUCUUGUGUCUGUGGCUAAAUUGCCCUGAAAUGAACAUCUGGCAGUGGCAGCCAAGCAGAAGGGACUGCCUUGCUGUGGAGCAACAAUAAAUUUAGGAUGGUAACAAAUCUGCUGAUUUAGUUACAACGUAGUACAUUUUUGAGGCUGAUGAGUGGAAAUCACUCUCUCUUCAUUCAUAGAGCUGUGUGCUGCUCUGCAGACACGCAUAAAAACGUGACAUUGUUUCCCAUUCUUUCUGGUAGCUCUUGUAAGGCUCCCUUAUGCGUCCGGGCUUGUAGAUCUCCCAGCUCAGCCAUGCUAUGCUGCUUUGGGUCCUUCUAACCCAUGAUUUUCCUUUGCUAUGGCCAAAACUAUCCUUGCAGCUGUUGCAGAAAAGGCGAGCUAAUUUUUAUCUCCUCCUUCAAAAGAUAGGAGAGCAAAAGCUUUGCUUUUUGUUGUUCCCAUUGUUCUGUUUCUUUUAACGCUACAUGCUGAUUGGCUGCAUUUGCAGGCCUUCACCCCUCACAAGGCUUCCCGCCUUGCCGUCCCCACAGGGUGGGGUGGGAGCUGCAGGCCUGGCCCUGCACACCUGUGCCAUGCAGCCCUCAUCAGCCCCAGGUGCCAGGGCUGGGGUGGGCUGGAGCAGCUGCUCUCCAGAACGGUGCAGCGCAGCGAGGUGGGCGGAGGCUGGAGGGUCGGGCUCCUCAAGGUAAAGCAUGGCAUGGAAAAUGGAUUCCGAGAGUCCUGCAGUCUGAUUCUGAAAUUCACCCAUGACAACUCUUCAGGGAGCCAGGAUCAAAGAUGGCAGCAGAGGGACAGUCUGACAGAAUAGUGUCUGGCAUGGAAACAUGGAUGAGGUGUGUCACUGAAUUCCUCCAUGCAGAAGAAAUGGCACCCACUGACCUUCAUCAAUACUUGCUGAAUGUUUAUGGAGACCGAACAGUGGAUCCAAAAGCCAGUAAGAAUGCAGGACCAACAGCAGGUGUAUCGUUGUUGGGAAGCCUCCUAUCAAGCAGACAAUAAAACCCUAUCACAUCUUAAUCCAGCCCACACUGCUGCCACAGGCAACCCUGACAGCUGCCUCUGUCUCUCUGCUUAAAGCAAACCAAACAAAAACACCAACUUGAAGGCUUUUUGAAUUCAAUUAGCCGGAUCCUCAUUAGACAUGAGAUGCCAGACCAGUUAGAGACUGUAAUCCAUUUGAUGUGAUAAAGCACUACUUUUCACUUGGCUGCACAAGAAACAUGAUCAUUGAUCCAUGAGGUCCACUGGACACAGAAAAACAUCCCACUAUCUUCUCUCAUAGUAUUCACUAUUAAAAAAAUAAAGACUUUAUAUGCCUGGAACUAGAACAUUCCAAGAAACAACGCAUGAAUUCCACAUCCUACCCUACCAGCUGUCUGGAAAUAUGACAUAAG
rnacentral:lncRNA from 1 species